ACUGUGAUGACUAAUGACAAUCAAAUUAUGAUAAUCUAAUCUGAAAAUUUAAUUUUAAUCAAAUUUUUAGUUCCAUUAAAAUGUUUGUGUCUCUAGUAAGAAUAAUUUCGUGGGAAUAGCUAACACUUGCUAUUCAUAAGGCUUCAAAAUGCUCAGCUGUAUAAGAGGGCAAGUUAAUGAAGCAAACUGGGUUUUCAAUUUUUAUUGUUUCUAUUCAUUUUUUAUCGUUUUACGAGUUCAGUUGGUGUUUUUUCGUUAAAUAUUAGUUCAGCCUUAUGUCAUCAGUUCCAAAAGCUCAAAUUGUCAAAAGCUCAAGAAGGCGCGGAGGGUGACCAGCAGCAAAAAGCUAAUAGGUUAUUGGUAGCCAUUGAUUGAAUAGUUAAAGUGGAGAAGGGUGAGCUAACCCUGACUGGCCAUGAAUAUCUUGGACAACCUAAGCCUAACAUUAAAACCGAUUAUUUAUAUUCCAAUGGAAGCCAAAAUCUUUUUUGGAGUGUAACCGUUAACAAGACUUGAUAUAUGAUAGUGAGCUCUUUUUAUAAGCUCAGUGUCAAAUGUCGAAUGUAAAAUCUCGAUGAAAUCAAGUUCUGCAAUCAUUUGAAUUGGUUCAACUCUGGAUGAAACAGAUGAAGCUUGUGAAAAGAGGCACUUUCACUAACAAGUCAACUUGAUGAGCUUGCGUUUCAGGCUCAAUGAGACUCUUAGCCAUUACACUUUCACUGAAAUCAGCUUCUUGAUUGCACUGAAUGAUGAUUUUAAAACAUGCCUGAAAAGUAACCACUUAAAUUUAAUGGUUCACGGAUGAAACUGUAAAGUAAACAGUUAAUUAAAGUUAAUUACUGUUGAACAAUUUGUACAAAAAAAGGUAAACUUGUUUUCUUGUAAUCUGAUAUUUUCCAUUAUUCCUCAUUAUCAUUUGAUUCAUUUGUUUGUUUCGGCCUUUUGUUGCUGCCAAUCAAACGUAUUAACCAUAACUCAAAUUUUCAACCGACACUUUAUUCCAAGUUUUAUUCAUUUAAUAUUAUAAUAUUAAUAAUUAUUAAUUGCUGAGCACAAAAAAGCGCAACAAAAACAAAACUUAAUCCAUCAGUUUACAUGAUAUUCAAAUGAGUUGAACAAUGGAAAAGCUCUUAACAAUAUCAACAAUAAUUGCAAAUCUUCAUCAUUCUAAUUAAAUUUAAUGAUCAUUAUUUCAGA